rfam:Schistosoma curassoni strain Dakar, Senegal genome assembly, scaffold: SCTD_scaffold0001418
GUACUGCUGAGAUGUCCCACAAUAGGACGAAACGGUCGUCCAGUGC